AAUUUUAAUUAUGAUUAAUUAUCACUUAACCAGGCUAAUAGAAAAAGUGAUCACGGAAAACCCCAAAUUAAAAUUACAGGGAUGGCGGGGCCCAGGUAGGCUAUGGGUGUGUGCCGCGGCCACCACUGCCCUCUUUGGAGGCGCAGGUCGGGCAGGAGCCACGUUUGUGGUGUGCAGCAUCGCGGCAGACCAUGAGGAUCUCAUCCAUGAUGUCUCCUUCGACUUCCACAGGUGGCGGAUGGUGACCUGCUCCAGCGAUCAGAGCGUUAAGGUCUGGGAUAAAAGUGAAAGUGGGGAUUGGCAUUGUACUGCUAGCUGGAAGACACAUAGUGGAUCUGUAUGGCGUGUGACAUGGGCCCAUCCUGAAUUUGGAUAGGUUUUGGCUUCCUGUUCUUUUGACCGAACAGCUGCUAUAUGGGAAGAAAUAGUAGGAGAAUCAAAUGAUAAACUUCGAAGCCAGAGUCACUGGGUUGAAAGGACAACUCUAAGGAUAGUAGGACAUGUUACCAAUGUGAAAUUUGCUCCCAAGCAUAUGGGUCUUAUGCUAGCAACCUGUUCAGCAGAUGGUAUAGUAAGAAUAUACAGGGCACCAGAUGUUAUGAAUCUCAGCCAGUGGUCUCUGCAGCUUGAGAUCUCACAUAAGCUGAGCUGUAGUUGUAUUUGUUGGAACCCUUCAAGCCCUCAGGCUCAUUCUCCCAUGAUAGCUGUAGGACAAUAGUCCCAUGAUAGGACAAUAGUCCAAAUACAACGGCCAAGGUUCAGAUUUUUUAAUAUAAUGAAAACACCAGGAAAUACACAAAAGCUGGAACUCUUAUGACAGUCACUGAUCCUGUACAUGAUAUUCCAUUUGCUUCAAAUUUGGGAAGAUCUUUCCAUAUUCUAGCAAUAGCAACCAAAGAUGUGAGAAUUUUUACAUUAAAGCUUGUGAAGAAAGAACUUACUUCCUCUGGCGGGCCAACAAAAUUUGAAAUCCAUAUCGUGGCUCAAUUUGAUAAUCAUAAUUCCCAGGUCUGGCGAGUGAGUUGGAAUAUAACAGUGCUAGCAUCUUCAGGAGAUGAUGGCUGUGUAUGAUUGUGGAAAGCUAAUUAUAUGGACAGUUGGAAGUGUACUGGUAUUUUGAAAGGUAAUGGGAGCCCAGUCAAUGGGAGUUCUCAGCAGGGAAACUCAAAUCCUUCCCUAGGUUCAAAUAUUCUAAAUCUUCAAAAUUCAUUAAAUGGAUCUUCUGCUGGCAGAAAGCAGAGCUGAGUACAAGCUAACUGGAGUAACUUUGCUGUCUUGCUGUUUGUUGCAUGCACACAGGAAUGGAAAGCAAGCUCCUUUUCCCCUUCCCCAGCGCCACUUGACUUCUCCCAAGAUACACCAGCAGCCUGCUUACUGCUAAAUGCAGUCCAAAAGGCCUUUAAAAAUACAGUGUAUAUCAUUUUUGUGUACUAGUCAGUUUACUGACACUAUUUGAAACUUUUAAAAUAUAAAGGAGAGGCUUUUUGUUGAGAUGUUAUCACCAAAACAAUUUUUUGAAAUGUUCCUGAAACUAACUUGGGUUUAAAAAUUAAAAGGAUUGUUACCAUCCUUAUGUAAGUAGUUGGAAGGAGGAAAAAUAUCACUUUAUUUCAUUUGGAGAAUAUUGGCAUAUUUCUUUUGUUUCCUAAAACAGUAAACUUUAAAUGAUGAAUUUUUAUACUUUUAAUUUGAAAACUGAAUAAAUAUUUUUUAUAAAAAAAAUUACAGUCAACCUUAGAAUAUUGGAGGGAGAAUUUCUCAUGGUUAAGAUGAGCUCCUCUCCCUGGUGCAGCUCAGUCAUUUUGCUGGAAUUAGGGGAUCUGAUAAGUAGUACCCUUCUUCUCCUACCCAGAUUCUUGACCAACUGCGACAGACAUGAGUUAGACAGUGAGAUCAAAAUGGCAGCAUGGGGCCGUUGGAGAAUGUGACUUAGGUGUAUGGCCACAGUGGACUUUCCUAAUAAUACUGUACCCAAGAAUUGAGCAGAUUGACCCACCCUGCCACAGGCAGCACCCUGUAGGGACAGAACCUUCACUGCUGAUCUUCUGAGUCUUGAAUACUCACGUCGUCAUUAAUCAAAGUCAUUCCUCAUACUCUAAGUAAGGGGACAGACAGAGGCCAGGAGAUCUAUUCUGGGGAUGUAGAACUAUUCUACAGAAUGCUCCCUGGAAAGAAGCACCAAGAAGAGAAAGGUAGCCUUUUAGUGCUGGUUGCCAGUCCCUAGGUAGGUGGGCAAAGAGGAGGAGCCUCUGAGGAGCAUUGAGCUGCUCUGGCUGAAAAAGAAUGGGCCCAGAGCCUGCCUGCAUCCUUUCCCCAGCCCUUUCCCAAAUGACCUUCUUGUUUAGAAGCUGGGGAAGUGCUAGUCUACUGGUCUUAACCAUGGUUCGGCCAUAUUCAGAUUUGUUUGUUCCUGGUUAAUGCAAAGUUGACUAUGUUCUGUCAAUAACUUGUUUUUAAGCAUCCACUGAGGACCUCGUUCACAUAGUUUCCAUUCUUCUGAAUUCAGAAAAUGGGUUACAUUUGCAGUUUCAUUUCAUUCUUUCAGAUCUUGAAACAAGGGCUGAGAAUGAGGAGAAUUCAAGCCAGAACAUUUCAGAGGAAGUAGAACUACCUGACGCAUUAUUAAAAAGAUCCAGAACGAA